AGCGAACGCUGGCGGCAGGCCUAACACAUGCAAGUCGAACGGACCCUUCGGGGUUAGUGGCGGACGGGUGAGUAACACGUGGGAACGUGCCUUUAGGUUCGGAAUAGCUCCUGGAAACGGGUGGUAAUGCCGAAUGUGCCCUUAGGGGGAAAGAUUUAUCGCCUUUAGAGCGGCCCGCGUCUGAUUAGCUAGUUGGUGAGGUAAUGGCUCACCAAGGCUACGAUCAGUAGCUGGUCUGAGAGGAUGACCAGCCACAUUGGGACUGAGACACGGCCCAAACUCCUACGGGAGGCAGCAGUGGGGAAUCUUGCGCAAUGGGCGAAAGCCUGACGCAGCCAUGCCGCGUGGAUGAUGAAGGUCUUAGGAUUGUAAAAUCCUUUCACCGGUGAAGAUAAUGACUGUAGCCGGAGAAGAAGCCCCGGCUAACUUCGUGCCAGCAGCCGCAGUAACAC
rnacentral:rRNA from 1 species